CCUGUCUCCUUUGAAAACUCUGGAAGUGGUAAUGAGGAAAGACAAAAUGGACACCCUUCUCCGCUCAGUUUUCUUCUCAUGAGACUGAAAUCAGGAUGCUGCCUUUGUGGCUGAGCCAGGAGCCUCUGGAGAGCAAUGCAUUUAAGAAACCAGAAGACUCUCAUUUUUGUUCAAAGGAAGGGCAACUGAGAUGAUGAAUGGGCCCCCAUGACCUUUCGCCAUCCAGAUUUUGCGUUCAAGUAGUUCCAUCAAUUUGCUGGGAAUCUCACAAUCAAUGGUUCCAGCACUGGAUGUGUCGGAGCUGUUAACAUUUGAUAUCCAACUGAGGUAUUAUAAAAUCCUCUGCGCGGGCACAGCGCUGUUCCCUGUGAUCAAAGGCAAGCCCUGUGAUGAAAGAUUCACUGUCUUCAGAAUUCACUCAAGCAACAAUGACCAGGGUGGGCAUUUAUCGCUAUUCCGCCCCUGCAGAGUUCAGAGUCUUUGAAUCAAAGUUCAAGCUGGCUACAUGUUUUCAAAAAGGCUAAAACCAGGAUGAAUGCCCACAUUUGAGGUGUGAGAGAGGAGGUGUUGCUGGGCUCCCCCGUACCCACCAGAAAACACGCAGUGUUGCGCCAUCAAAGCAAUUUGACGGCUGUGCCGCGCAUCUCUCACAAUCACAGCGUCCCACCACCACGAGCAUCUGACCACCUACGGCUGGCAGGUCAGCAACUCCAGGAUGAACGACAUGAAAGGCCACCUACAGACAUGGGUGCUCUAGAGACACUUCCAAAUAUUGAUGCACCAGUGCAACAGCUGUUACCAGCGAAACUCCCCUCCCAACCAAACCCAGCUGUGGAAGAGGCUCUCUUCAGAAACCUGUCAGAAAACAAGACGACCACGUAGCGUUCCUCGGCGUGGAGGACCCACAGGACCACCGUGCUCUCAGUUCGAGGGUUACUCUAUCACUUCAGGCAAUCUUUCGGGGCGCAGGUGAAAAGGGAGGUAGGGAAGCGCACACUGUCACAGCUACGUUACAGUGGGUAAGGCCUGAUGUAUUACACCACUCUUUCCACUUAAGAAACCUGAGUUUGACUCUCUCAACUGGAUUUUCUCAUGCUUGCUUUGGGACUCCAGCCCUUUCCUGACCCCCUCCCAUCAACAGACAUAGUGAGAGAUGUUGGCAACAACUAGUGUUUCACCCUUUCACAGACUAAAGUUUUGUUCCCAUGUCAGACACACAACUGGGACAACCUGACAACUUGGGAGGACACGCUGUCCUCCCAUUCCACCCAGAACGUCGGCAAACAGCAGACUGAGAAUUCAGUUUCCGGGGAGGAAACCUGCUAUUUCAACAGGAUAGAAACAGACCAGUCCACAGACAAAUCCCCAGACCCUCUGGGAGUCACCCUGGGUCUCACAACCAACCUGGUCACUUCCAGCCCAUCCAGUGCUCAACAAAACACCCAGCUAUUACACACUUCCAACCCCUACGAACCUCCCCAACACCUCGCCAAGUGAGCUAAGAUUGACGACGUGGGAAAAAAACCACCACCACCAGCAGAAGAAAAUCAGCAAUAACAACCUCAAAAAAAAUAAGAAAAAAAGAAGAAAAAAAAG